AACAAGGCGUACCUGCGGACCUGCGGAAGGAUCAUUACAGGACUCGCAAGACUCCUUAAACCCCUGUGAACUUACUGUUUAUACGUUGCUUCGGCGGGUGCUCCGGGGUCCGCCCCGGGGCGCUGCGCCCGCCGGCAGCCUACUUAAUUCUGUUUCUCUGCGUUGGCAUCUCGAGUAAGCAAAAUAAGUUAAAACUUUCAACAAUGGAUCU
rnacentral:misc_RNA from 1 species